rnacentral:lncRNA from 1 species
AGAGAGGUGAGUCAUCCAUUCUUCAUGGCACAGCUGUCGCCUUCCUGAAACUCACAUUAGACACGCGCUCAUAGAAUCAAAUGUACCACAUGCAGCCAUUACAGACGGGCACACCAACCCCAGACUGCUGUUGCCAGGGUACAGUCUGCUGCUGAGAGGCUGUCAGAGUGGUGAGUAGCCACUCAUACCACCUGUCAUCAGAGAAUGAGGAGCGAGCAGGGGAGGGGCAGGCCGUGUGGCCUCCGGAGAUGGCAGCAGACGGAGAUCCGGGCAGAGGUGCCUAGAGUCCUAGAGAGCUAGAGAUGGAGGGAAAUUCAGAUCAUCUAAACCCUUCAGCCCUUCACUGGACAGAAGAGGAAACUGAGGCUCCAUCUGCAUGACGUUCCCAGAGUCACGGCACAAAUUCAUGGAAGAAGCAGCAGGAAACUCAGUUCUCCAGUCUGGGUCCAAUGUGUGUUUUAGAAAUAUCUCCACAGGGUUAAUGACUCAAUUUUUCAUGCAUGAUUGCUAGUAAUGACAAUCAUGUUAUGUUUGUUUCUGUAGCUUUGGAAAUCACUCCUUCCACUUGAGUUUCAGGUCCCAACUGUCCACACCUGCAGGAGUGAGGUUUUGCUGAGACUGAUAAGGCACUCACAUUUUGUGGGAGUUGAAUUGUCUCUGUAGCCUAGAAUCUAGAUUUUUUUCCCUCCUCUGCUCUCAGUGAACGGAGAAUUCCAUCUCGGUACAAUCUGUGAACCAUUCUGCAGUAAGAUUGUCAUCGUCUCAUUCAUACUACCUGGUCGGUAACACAAAGGGCUGUAAUUGAUGUGGUUCAGAGACUCACAUCCAAGCAAUAAAAAUGAAUCCCUUAUGGUGGUCUGCAGCAA